rnacentral:rRNA from 1 species
AGAGUUUGAUCCUGGCUCAGGAUGAAUGCUGGCGGCGUGCCUAAUACAUGCAAGUCGAGCGGUAAGGCCCUUCGGGGUACACGAGCGGCGGACGGCUGAGUAACGCGUGGGAACAUGCCCCAAAGUGAGGGAUAACGCACCGAAAGGUGUGCUAAUACCGCAUAUGGUCUUCGGAUUAAAGGAUUUAUCCGCUUUGGGAGUGGCCCGCGUACGAUUAGAUUGUUGGUGAGGUAACGGCUCACCAAGUCGACGAUCGUUAACUGGUCUGAGAGAAUGAUCAGUCAGACUGGAACUGAGACACGGUCCAGACUCCUACGGGAGGCAGCAGUAAGGAAUCUUCCACAAUGGGCGAAAGCCUGAUGGAGCAACGCCGCGUGCAGGAUGAAGGCCCUCGGGUCGUAAACUGCUUUAUGAGUGAAGAAUAUGACGGUAACUCAUGAAUAAGCACCGGCUAACUACGUG